GACGAACGCUGGCGGCGUGCUUAACACAUGCAAGUCGAACGGAAAGGCUCCGGCUUGCUGGCGUACUCGAGUGGCGAACGGGUGAGUAACACGUGGGUAAUCUGCCCUGCACUCUGGGAUAAGCCUGGGAAACUGGGUCUAAUACUGGAUAUGACCUUUCUCCUUAUGGGGUUUGGUGGAAAGUUUUUCGGUGUAGGAUGAGCCCGCGGCCUAUCAGCUUGUUGGUGGGGUGAUGGCCUACCAAGGCGACGACGGGUAGCCGGCCUGAGAGGGUGAUCGGCCACAUUGGGACUGAGAUACGGCCCAGACUCCUACGGGAGGCAGCAGUGGGGAAUAUUGCACAAUGGGCGGAAGCCUGAUGCAGCGACGCCGCGUGAGGGAUGACGGCCUUCGGGUUGUAAACCUCUUUCAGCAGGGACGAAGCGUAAGUGACGGUACCUGCAGAAGAAGCACCGGCUAACUAUGUG
rnacentral:rRNA from 1 species